rnacentral:rRNA from 1 species
AUGUUAGCGGCGGACGGGUGAGUAACACGUGGGUAACCUGCCUGUAAGACUGGGAUAACUCCGGGAAACCGGGGCUAAUACCGGAUGGUUGUCUGAACCGCAUGGUUCAGACAUAAAAGGUGGCUUCGGCUACCACUUACAGAUGGACCCGCGGCGCAUUAGCUAGUUGGUGAGGUAACGGCUCACCAAGGCGACGAUGCGUAGCCGACCUGAGAGGGUGAUCGGCCACACUGGGACUGAGACACGGCCCAGACUCCUACGGGAGGCAGCAGUAGGGAAUCUUCCGCAAUGGACGAAAGUCUGACGGAGCAACGCCGCGUGAGUGAUGAAGGUUUUCGGAUCGUAAAGCUCUGUUGUUAGGGAAGAACAAGUGCCGUUCAAAUAGGGCGGCACCUUGACGGUACCUAACCAGAAAGCCACGGCUAACUACGUGCCAGCAGCCGCGGUAAUACGUAGGUGGCAAGCGUUGUCCGGAAUUAUUGGGCGUAAAGGGCUCGCAGGCGGUUUCUUAAGUCUGAUGUGAAAGCCCCCGGCUCAACCGGGGAGGGUCAUUGGAAACUGGGGAACUUGAGUGCAGAAGAGGAGAGUGGAAUUCCACGUGUAGCGGUGAAAUGCGUAGAGAUGUGGAGGAACACCAGUGGCGAAGGCGACUCUCUGGUCUGUAACUGACGCUGAGGAGCGAAAGCGUGGGGAGCGAACAGGAUUAGAUACCCUGGUAGUCCACGCCGUAAACGAUGAGUGCUAAGUGUUAGGGGGUUUCCGCCCCUUAGUGCUGCAGCUAACGCAUUAAGCACUCCGCCUGGGGAGUACGGUCGCAAGACUGAAACUCAAAGGAAUUGACGGGGGCCCGCACAAGCGGUGGAGCAUGUGGUUUAAUUCGAAGCAACGCGAAGAACCUUACCAGGUCUUGACAUCCUCUGACAAUCCUAGAGAUAGGACGUCCCCUUCGGGGGCAGAGUGACAGGUGGUGCAUGGUUGUCGUCAGCUCGUGUCGUGAGAUGUUGGGUUAAGUCCCGCAACGAGCGCAACCCUUGAUCUUAGUUGCCAGCAUUCAGUUGGGCACUCUAAGGUGACUGCCGGUGACAAACCGGAGGAAGGUGGGGAUGACGUCAAAUCAUCAUGCCCCUUAUGACCUGGGCUACACACGUGCUACAAUGGACAGAACAAAGGGCAGCGAAACCGCGAGGUU